rnacentral:rRNA from 1 species
GGGUUGUGAGGUUAAGCGACUAAGCGUACACGGUGGAUGCCCUGGCAGUCAGAGGCGAUGAAGGACGUGCUAAUCUGCGAUAAGCGUCGGUAAGGUGAUAUGAACCGUUAUAACCGGCGAUUUCCGAAUGGGGAAACCCAGUGUGAUUCGUCACACUAUCAUUAACUGAAUCCAUAGGUUAAUGAGGCGAACCGGGGGAACUGAAACAUCUAAGUACCCCGAGGAAAAGAAAUCAACCGAGAUUCCCCCAGUAGCGGCGAGCGAACGGGGAGGAGCCCAGAGCCUGAAUCAGUGUGUGUGUUAGUGGAAGCGUCUGGAAAGGCGCGCGAUACAGGGUGACAGCCCCGUACACAAAAAUGCACAUGCUGUGAGCUCGAUGAGUAGGGCGGGACACGUGGUAUCCUGUCUGAAUAUGGGGGGACCAUCCUCCAAGGCUAAAUACUCCUGACUGACCGAUAGUGAACCAGUACCGUGAGGGAAAGGCGAAAAGAACCCCGGCGAGGGGAGUGAAAAAGAACCUGAAACCGUGUACGUACAAGCAGUGGGAGCACAGAGCAAUCUGUGUGACUGCGUACCUUUUGUAUAAUGGGUCAGCGACUUAUAUUCUGUAGCAAGGUUAACCGAAUAGGGGAGCCGAAGGGAAACCGAGUCUUAACUGGGCGUUAAGUUGCAGGGUAUAGACCCGAAACCCGGUGAUCUAGCCAUGGGCAGGUUGAAGGUUGGGUAACACUAACUGGAGGACCGAACCGACUAAUGUUGAAAAAUUAGCGGAUGACUUGUGGCUGGGGGUGAAAGGCCAAUCAAACCGGGAGAUAGCUGGUUCUCCCCGAAAGCUAUUUAGGUAGCGCCUCGUGAAUUCAUCUCCGGGGGUAGAGCACUGUUUCGGCAAGGGGGUCAUCCCGACUUACCAACCCGAUGCAAACUGCGAAUACCGGAGAAUGUUAUCACGGGAGACACACGGCGGGUGCUAACGUCCGUCGUGAAGAGGGAAACAACCCAGACCGCCAGCUAAGGUCCCAAAGUCAUGGUUAAGUGGGAAACGAUGUGGGAAGGCCCAGACAGCCAGGAUGUUGGCUUAGAAGCAGCCAUCAUUUAAAGAAAGCGUAAUAGCUCACUGGUCGAGUCGGCCUGCGCGGAAGAUGUAACGGGGCUAAACCAUGCACCGAAGCUGCGGCAGCGACGCUUAUGCGUUGUUGGGUAGGGGAGCGUUCUGUAAGCCUGUGAAGGUGUACUGUGAGGUAUGCUGGAGGUAUCAGAAGUGCGAAUGCUGACAUAAGUAACGAUAAAGCGGGUGAAAAGCCCGCUCGCCGGAAGACCAAGGGUUCCUGUCCAACGUUAAUCGGGGCAGGGUGAGUCGACCCCUAAGGCGAGGCCGAAAGGCGUAGUCGAUGGGAAACAGGUUAAUAUUCCUGUACUUGGUGUUACUGCGAAGGGGGGACGGAGAAGGCUAUGUUGGCCGGGCGACGGUUGUCCCGGUUUAAGCGUGUAGGCUGGUUUUCCAGGCAAAUCCGGAAAAUCAAGGCUGAGGCGUGAUGACGAGGCACUACGGUGCUGAAGCAACAAAUGCCCUGCUUCCAGGAAAAGCCUCUAAGCAUCAGGUAACAUCAAAUCGUACCCCAAACCGACACAGGUGGUCAGGUAGAGAAUACCAAGGCGCUUGAGAGAACUCGGGUGAAGGAACUAGGCAAAAUGGUGCCGUAACUUCGGGAGAAGGCACGCUGAUAUGUAGGUGAAGUCCCUCGCGGAUGGAGCUGAAAUCAGUCGAAGAUACCAGCUGGCUGCAACUGUUUAUUAAAAACACAGCACUGUGCAAACACGAAAGUGGACGUAUACGGUGUGACGCCUGCCCGGUGCCGGAAGGUUAAUUGAUGGGGUCAGCGCAAGCGAAGCUCUUGAUCGAAGCCCCGGUAAACGGCGGCCGUAACUAUAACGGUCCUAAGGUAGCGAAAUUCCUUGUCGGGUAAGUUCCGACCUGCACGAAUGGCGUAAUGAUGGCCAGGCUGUCUCCACCCGAGACUCAGUGAAAUUGAACUCGCUGUGAAGAUGCAGUGUACCCGCGGCAAGACGGAAAGACCCCGUGAACCUUUACUAUAGCUUGACACUGAACAUUGAGCCUUGAUGUGUAGGAUAGGUGGGAGGCUUGGAAGUGUGGACGCCAGUCUGCAUGGAGCCGACCUUGAAAUACCACCCUUUAAUGUUUGAUGUUCUAACGUUGACCCGUAAUCCGGGUUGCGGACAGUGUCUGGUGGGUAGUUUGACUGGGGCGGUCUCCUCCUAAAGAGUAACGGAGGAGCACGAAGGUUGGCUAAUCCUGGUCGGACAUCAGGAGGUUAGUGCAAUGGCAUAAGCCAGCUUGACUGCGAGCGUGACGGCGCGAGCAGGUGCGAAAGCAGGUCAUAGUGAUCCGGUGGUUCUGAAUGGAAGGGCCAUCGCUCAACGGAUAAAAGGUACUCCGGGGAUAACAGGCUGAUACCGCCCAAGAGUUCAUAUCGACGGCGGUGUUUGGCACCUCGAUGUCGGCUCAUCACAUCCUGGGGCUGAAGUAGGUCCCAAGGGUAUGGCUGUUCGCCAUUUAAAGUGGUACGCGAGCUGGGUUUAGAACGUCGUGAGACAGUUCGGUCCCUAUCUGCCGUGGGCGCUGGAGAACUGAGGGGGGCUGCUCCUAGUACGAGAGGACCGGAGUGGACGCAUCACUGGUGUUCGGGUUGUCAUGCCAAUGGCACUGCCCGGUAGCUAAAUGCGGAAGAGAUAAGUGCUGAAAGCAUCUAAGCACGAAACUUGCCCCGAGAUGAGUUCUCCCUGACUCCUUGAGAGUCCUGAAGGAACGUUGAAGACGACGACGUUGAUAGGCCGGGUGUGUAAGCGCAGCGAUGCGUUGAGCUAACCGGUACUAAUGAACCGUGAGGCUUAACCUUACAACGCCGAAGGUGUUU